AAUGUAAUAGAAUUAAUUUGCAAGUUAGUAUAUUGAACAUAAUUAAGCUUAACAAUUAAGAAAUUUCUAUGCACCAUUUAAUUGCUAUUGUAUUACUAUUAAAUAACGUUCACCAUAUGUGAGUGAUAUAUAUUAACAACAGUGCAACAUUGAGAUGUGUUGUACUACAGUAUAAAAGUAAGAGGUUAGGUUAGGUUGACGAUCCCUUAGCGAUACCAGAUAGAAAUGCUUUGCUAUUGAGGAUGGGUUCUCAUUUCUUCUUACUCUAUUACUUUAUUAGUAUUGCAGAUUUACUAAUUAAAAAAUAUUUGUCUCCAUCAAGGAUAUAACAAUUUUGAUGGUCUCCUUUUGUGGCUAUCCCUGUCAGAUUGCUCAUUGGAUCAUACCAAGUGUUUUUAUUGAUGUCGGUUGCAUUUGCUGCAAUUGUUGUUUUUAACCAAUUCCAUCUUCUCCUAUAAUCAACUUUCUAUCUGGCAUUGGUAGUGGUAUUGGUAUUGGUUACGCCGUAUACUUGGUCCUGUGAGAGAAGAGGUCUUCUAUCGGUUGAGAUAUAACGACGAAUGUCAAAAGGAGUUAGGUGAACCAACAAUAAACAAAAGAGGUAAAAACAAUGGGCUGUUCAAAGAAUGAACAUAGAUAUAAACCAACAGAAAAAAUAUUCCAAUCUGCACCAGAAGUAAGAAGAAAAAGGGAAUGACCAAGUUUACGCUCGAUAGACAACGUUGAACAAACGGCUGACCUGCUUGCGAGAAGAAACUUGAGAUCUUUAGCAAGCCACAGAAAUACAUAGAGGCAAUUACAAAGGGAGUUCAAAAUUCACCUAGUAUCAUUGCGCUAUUAAUAAUAACUUUGAAGUAUUAACCUAUACAUCACUAUUUAUUAUACACAAACGAUAUAUCAAUUUAUAGUUAAUUAAUUUAAU